GGAGAGUUGGUCGAGAUGGUCGAAGGCGCUCGCCUGGAAAGUGAGUAUACGUCAAAAACGUAUCAUGGGUUCGAAUCCCAUACUCUCCGCCA
rnacentral:tRNA from 4 species